CAACUAGAAUUACAAAUUAUUUAACAUUUGAAGUACAUUUGCAUAACCAGAGACCAUUCUGUAGUACCACAUUAUAGGCUUAAUCUUUACCUACUUGGAGAGAAAUUUAUCAGCGUUUAUCAUGAACAAUACCGAAAUAUAUUCUAUUGAUUUCCAUUUUUUCCCUUUUUAUCAACUUGAAUAAUAUUUUUUCUCAUCUUUCCCCUUCCACAUGUCCUUUUUCCUUUUGAAGUUCAUGGUAGAUUAACUGGAUAUGAAAACUCAAAUUGAGGGAAUUUGAAUCUAACAUGAUGUGAUUUAGAUAUUUUGAAACGUUUCAGGAUAAAGACUAUAAACUGGUGACAUAUAACUGAAGAUGAAUUCCUGAGCUUAGAGUCAGUGUAGCAGAGUCAUGCUCAGCAGAUGAUCUCUGGACCUAUUAAUACUUGUAUUCAUAUGAUACAAGAAGCUGAAUGUGUCGCCUUCUUGAAAGAGUGAUAUUUUAAUCCCUUCUGAUACUUCUAUGAAGAUGCUAAAACUAUCUCAAUAAAUUCCUUGAGAGAAAGACAUCUUAUCUAUAUCCAACAUUACAUAAAGUACAGUAUUUUUCAGGUGAGGACAUUUUGGCACAGAAAGAUGAGGCAUUUGUCCACAGGCAUGGAAGUACCAAGUUUAGGAGUUAGAAUGUCCGGUUGAACGGCUGUGCUUAAUGCCUAUGUUAUUGAUUUCACUACCAUUAAAUGUACUGUUACAACUGCUGAACUAGAAUUUUAAAUCAUAUCGCAUGAUCUGUAUUAUUUAGAUGGCAAAUUGGAAGGAAAAUUUCCUUGAAUUCAGUUGUGAAACAAAUAUUAAAUGUAUAAAUAUUUAACUAUUCUGGUAAUUUUGCUUGAUUUAAUUAGAAAUUGAAUUUAAGAUUUCAUCACUGUACAGUAUAGAUUGAAUUGUAAGAAUGGUUAACUUUUAGAUGUGAUUUGGCAUUUUGGAGAUGUGUAAUAGUAGCUAACAAUUACAUCAAAACAUUGGACUUAAAGUUGUGUGUUUUUCUAAAACAUUA